UUUUAAUACAACAUUUAUUUAUUUAAUUGUUUUGAGAUGGAGGUCUUGUCAUGUUACCCAGGCUGGACUUGAACUUCUGGGCUGAACCUCCUGAGUAGCUGGGACUACAGAUGCGUACCACCACACCCGGCCCGGCAUGAUAUAAACACUUAAACAAAAAUUUUAAUAAGGAUUAGUUUUUGUUCAUAGGGAGAAGGGCCCAUGAGGGCAAGUGCCUAGGUUUCAUAAAAGUCAUAAUGGAAGCCCAGGGUGACAGCUGUCAGCCACUGUGGGCUGGGGCAAGGAGAAAAGCCUAUGGGAGCAGCUUCUUCCUUAGGGGUUGGCUGAGGGGAAGAGCAUGGGAGGGCAUUUUGAGACGUGGACCUGUGAGCAGAACAGAUGAGCCUGGGAGACACAGGCCAUGUGACGUGCCUGGAAGAUGAAGUGUCUGCAGAGGAAGAUGUUGGUCAGGUUCACUUGCAAGAAACUGGAACAGAGUGUGUAUUCUGACAUCACAGUGGCUGUCUUCCAGCACGAUUCCCUGGGGUCCCGCGGCAAGGGGGUUGUUCUUCAGUAUCCACUCUCCUCUUCUUCCUUUGGCAUGAAGCCCCUCUGUUGGGUUGAAUUGUGUCUUCUCCAAAGAUAGGCUGAAGUUUUAACUCCUGGUACCUGUAAAUAUGGCCUUAUUUGGAAAUAGGAACUUUGUAGAUGUCAUCAAAUUUAAGAUGAGAUCAUACUAUGUUGGGGGUGGGGCCCUAAAUCCAAUGGCUGUUGCCUUGAUAAAAGAAAAGAUUUAGAUACAGAGACACAAAGGCCAUAUGACAACGGAGGCAGAGACUGUAAUGAUGCAGCUACAAGUCGAGGAGUGCCAAGGAUUGCCAGACACCAGCAGAAGCUAAGAAAAGAGGCACCAUCCACUUGGCUCUGGACGACGCCCUGCCUGGCUGAGCUGCCCUGGGAGCUGUCAACACGGGUGUGCGUGCUGGUAUUCCAGAGGCUGCAUGCUCACCUGUGGGUGCUGUGGGAGCAAGGACAGUCGCACUGGGAGAAAGGUGUUUCCCUUCAACCUCACGAUUCCCCGAGCCUAUGACUGGAUUCCUGGCCUGUGGUUUUCAAACUUCAGAGUAUAGGCCUUUACUUUUGUUUAAUAACAUGUAGGUUGUACUAACCAGGUGCCAGGCUGUGGUCUAAGUGCUCACAAACAUUAGCUCAUGUAAUUCUCAUCAGAACUCUGUGAGGUAGGUACUCAUAUUUCCAUUUUAUAGAUGGGAAAACUAAGGUGUAAAUAGGGAACUUGUCCAAGAGCUCCCGGCUAGUUAGUCUGACCUGAGUCUGUUUUCUUUUCUUUGUUUUUUUUGAGAUGGACUCUUGCUCAGUCACCCAGGCUGGAGUGCAGUGGCAAGAUCUCAGCUCACUGCAAUCUCCGCCUCUCGGGUUCAAGCGAUUCUCCUGUCUCAGUCUCCCGAGUAGCUGGGAUUAUGGGUGUGCACAACCACGCCCUGCUAAUUUUUUGUAUUUUUAGUAGAGACAGGGUUUCACCACGUUGGCCAGACUGGUCUUGAACUCCUGACCUCAGGUGAUUCGCCCGCCUUCGUCUCCCAAAGAGCUGGGAUUAUAGG
rnacentral:lncRNA from 1 species